GCCGCCUUAGCUCAGCUGGUAGAGCAUCUGAUUUGUAAUCAGAGGGUCGUAGGUUCGAGUCCUACAGGCGGCA
rnacentral:tRNA from 1 species